CACGUAGUUAGCCGGGGCUUCUUGUUCAGGUACUGUCAUUUUCCUCCCUGCCGACAGGGCUUUACAUGCCGAGGCAUUUCAUCGCCCACGCGGCGUCGCUGCAUCAGGGUUCCCCCCAUUGUGCAAUAUCCCCCACUGCUGCCUCCCGUAGGAGUUUGGGCCGUGUCUCAGUCCCAAUGUGGCCGUCCACCCUCUCAGGCCGGCUACUGAUCGUCGCUUUGGUAGGCCGUUACCCUGCCAACUGGCUAAUCAGACGCGGGCCCAUCUUAUACCACCGGAGUUUUUCACCCUGGGCCAUGCGGCCCUGGGCGCUUAUGCGGUCUUAGCACCUAUUUCUAAGUGUUAUCCCCCUGUAUAAGGCAGGUUACCCACGCGUUACUCACCCGUCCGCCACUAAAGUAAAAAAUGUUACCGUUGCAGUAAACUGCCUCUUCCCUUCUUUUACUUCCGUUCGACUUGCAUGUGUUAAGCACGCCGCCAGCGUUCAUCCUGAGCCAGGAUCAAACUCU
rnacentral:rRNA from 1 species